GGUUUGUGGGCGUUAGAGUGGGCGUGUAAAAAACUUGCCCUACGUAUUUGUUCCGAGACAUUUUAGAUUCGAUAGUUCAAAAGAAUAUACAUAUAUACUCUAUGGGGUCGGAAACGCUUCCUUCUACCAGUUACAUCUAGUAUACUCUUUUACUCUACGGGUAUUAAAUUGAGUUUCAAUUCCAAAUACUCAAGACUAUUGUGGAUAAGGCACUAAAAUGUUAAAAAUAGGUCCAGGGGCAGCUGACACCCCCCCACCCCCCACCUCCCUGCCCUACCCUGGCGACACCCUUGUACGGGAUUGAAGGCGGUUACUCUGAGGCAAUAAGUCAAGAUCGUAUCUAAACUUAACAUCAGAAUGAACAAUGUUUUGGUUUUCAUUUAAGGAUGUGCAUUUUCUAGCGUAAUAAACUCUACAGUGGUAUAACCCCUUACUAUA
rnacentral:sRNA from 1 species